AUUGAACGCUGGCGGUAGGCCUAACACAUGCAAGUCGAGCGGAUGAAGGGAGCUUGCUCCUGGAUUCAGCGGCGGACGGGUGAGUAAUGCCUAGGAAUCUGCCUGGUAGUGGGGGAUAACGUCCGGAAACGGGCGCUAAUACCGCAUACGUCCUGAGGGAGAAAGUGGGGGAUCUUCGGACCUCACGCUAUCAGAUGAGCCUAGGUCGGAUUAGCUAGUUGGUGGGGUAAAGGCCUACCAAGGCGACGAUCCGUAACUGGUCUGAGAGGAUGAUCAGUCACACUGGAACUGAGACACGGUCCAGACUCCUACGGGAGGCAGCAGUGGGGAAUAUUGGACAAAGGGCGAAAGCCUGAUCCAGCCAUGCCGCGUGUGUGAAGAAGGUCUUCGGAUUGUAAAGCACUUUAAGUUGGGAGGAAGGGCAGUAAGUUAAUACCUUGCUGUUUUGACGUUACCAACAGAAUAAGCACCGGCUAACUUCGUG
rnacentral:rRNA from 1 species